AGCAGCAGCACUGCCACUGCCACUGAGAGGUGAGAGGCUGAGAGCUGCAGCAGUGGUAUUAUCGUAACCGGAGGAGGUUGAAGAAGAAGAAGUGCUUCUUGGAAGUUCAGUGGGUAACAGCCUCUUCUUCUUCUUCCAUUCGGUAUCAGAGCUAGUGUUUCUAUUUGACAAAAAAACGGUGACUACUGUGGCAGGCGGCUUUGUUCAUAUAGGAAGAGAGGAGCAUACUAUUUAAACGAAAACUGUUAAUUUCCUGUUUAUGAAAGGAAGGAACCAAGAGUCCAAGUUGACGGGACGAGGAUGCGUCGUCAUCUAUUUUGGAAUAUUUGCACAUGAAUCACGAGUGACUGACUGGUGUCGUUUUAAACAGCCUUGAUGGAAUAACGUACAGUUUGACUUGAACCGCUCUUGGCAUAACAACUCCCAUUUCCACCAUAUCAAGUUAUCUGAGGUUGAUCUAGUGUUAGUGUUUCUGUAACAAGAUCUGUGAUUGUGAGCCUCUGCAGCUACCAAGUCUCAGGAAGUCAGUGCCAUCUUUGUAUCCCCGCGAUGGACAGCAUAUUUCUGAAGAGUAUCAUCCACGCGUAGUUGUGUGUAUUCUACCACAGGUUGCUGAUGCCCAGGUGGAGUAGAAGAAGACGCCCAUUUAUCUCUCUGGCAACCCAGAAUUCAAGUUUGUCUCUAUAACCUGUUUUGUUACAAAGGAUCACCGAUAAUCUUCGAAGGAACGUGUUUUCUUCAGUAUUGAGCUAAUUUUCCUUAAUAACAUACUCUAGAGUCUCCCUCAGAAGAACCUUCCUUCUUUCAGUUUUUAUUAGCAUCAAGUUGUUGGGAAUGCAUAUUAUUUAAUGGUGCUACAUGGGACAUUACCAAUAGCUACUCUUAAAGUGUAAGAGACAACAGUGAAUUGUUGUACUCCUGAUUUAGAAAUUACAAAAACUAUAAGUAAACUCUACUCUGAAUAU